rnacentral:rRNA from 1 species
ACACAUGCAAGUCGAACGAUGAAGCCUAGCUUGCUGGGUGGAUUAGUGGCGAACGGGUGAGUAACACGUGAGUAACCUGCCCUUCACUCUGGGAUAAGCCUGGGAAACUGGGUCUAAUAACUGGAUAUGACAUCUCCUCGCAUGGGGUGGUGUGGAAAGUUUUUCGGUGGAGGAUGGGCUCGCGGCCUAUCAGCUUGUUGGUGAGGUAGUGGCUCACCAAGGCGACGACGGGUAGCCGGCCUGAGAGGGUGACCGGCCACACUGGGACUGAGACACGGCCCAGACUCCUACGGGAGCAGCAGUGGGGGAAUAUUGCACAAUGGGCGAAAGCCUGAUGCAGCGACGCCGCGUGAGGGAUGAAGGCCUUCGGGUUGUAAACCUCUUUCGCCAGGGAAGAAGCGCAAGUGACGGUACCUGGAGAAGAAGCACCGGCUAACUACGUGCCAGCAGCCGCGGUAAUACGUAGGGUGCGAGCGUUGUCCGGAAUUAUUGGGCGUAAAGAGCUUGUAGGCGGUUUGUCGCGUCUGCUGUGAAAAUUCGGGGCUUAACUCCGGACGUGCAGUGGGUACGGGCAGGCUAGAGUGUGGUAGGGGAGACUGGAAUUCCUGGUGUAGCGGUGAAAUGCGCAGAUAUCAGGAGGAACACCGAUGGCGAAGGCAGGUCUCUGGGCCAUAACUGACGCUGAGAAGCGAAAGCAUGGGGAGCGAACAGGAUUAGAUACCCUGGUAGUCCAUGCCGUAAACGUUGGGCGCUAGGUGUGGGGCUAUUCCACGAGUUCCGUGCCGCAGCUAACGCAUUAAGCGCCCCGCCUGGGGAGUACGGCCGCAAGGCUAAAACUCAAAGGAAUUGACGGGGGCCCGCACAAGCGGCGGAGCAUGCGGAUUAAUUCGAUGCAACGCGAAGAACCUUACCAAGGCUUGACAUACACCGGAAAAGUGCAGAGAUGUGUGCCCCGUAAGGUCGGUGUACAGGUGGUGCAUGGUUGUCGUCAGCCCGUGUCGUGAGAUGUUGGGUUAAGUCCCGCAACGAGCGCAACCCUCGUUCCAUGUUGCCAGCACGUGAUGGUGGGGACUCAUGGGAGACUGCCGGGGUCAACUCGGAGGAAGUGGGGAUGACGUCAAAUCAUCAUGCCCCUUAUGUCUUGGGCUUCACGCAUGCUACAAUGGCCGGUACAGAGUGUUGCGAUGCCGUGAGGCGGAGCGAAUCACUAAAAGCCGGUCUCAGUUCGGAUUGGGGUCUGCAACUCGACCCCAUGAAGUCGGAGUCGCUAGUAAUCGCAGAUCAGCAACGCUGCGGUGAAUACGUUCCCGGGCCUUGUACACACCGCCCGUCAAGUCACGAAAGUCGGUAACACCCGAAGCCGGUGGCCUAACCCUUGUGGGGGGAGCCGUCGAAGGUGGGACUGGCGAUUGGGACUAAGUCGUAACAAGGUAGCCGUACCGGAAGG